rnacentral:lncRNA from 1 species
UGAGGUGUCAAACACUGUGGCAGGCACUGGAGGUGCCAGGAUGAGUUCAAUGAGCCUGGUGACAAUGUUCCAGGCACCCCCAGGCUGAUGGGAGAGACCGACAGCUGAACACUGGACCAUGCCGCAGCCAGCACUCACACACUGAGGAGAUGCAAUUUUAAAGACACUCAUCUAUGGAGUGCCCCAAAUGCACUAGGACUGCACAGGCUGUGUGGGGAACUCAAGGUUGAAAAAGAUAUAUCCUUGGCCCUCAGGAAGACUACAGCCAGUGUAAAGGGGACCAUAACGAUGUCUACAUCCCAGGGCUGUCGCGAGUGAGAUCAUCCAACCAAGCACUUUGUACAACGUCUG